UACGUAGGGGGCAAGCGUUAUCCGGAUUUACUGGGUGUAAAGGGAGCGUAGACGGCACGGCAAGCCUGAUGUGAAAGCCCGCGGCCCAACCGCGGGACUGCAAUGGGAACUACCGGGCUGGAGUGCCGGAGAGGUAGGCGGAAUUCCUAGUGUAGCGGUGAAAUGCGUAGAUAUUAGGAGGAACACCAGUGGCGAAGGCGGCCUACUGGACGGUGACUGACGCUGAGGCUCGAAAGCGUGGGGAGCAAACAGG
rnacentral:rRNA from 1 species